rnacentral:rRNA from 1 species
UCUGGCGACCGGCGCACGGGUGAGUAACACGUAUCCAACCUGCCGAUAACUCGGGGAUAGCCUUUCGAAAGAAAGAUUAAUACCCGAUGGCAUAAUUAGACCGCAUGGUUUGAUUAUUAAAGAAUUUCGGUUAUCGAUGGGGAUGCGUUCCAUUAGGCAGUUGGUGAGGUAACGGCUCACCAAACCUUCGAUGGAUAGGGGUUCUGAGAGGAAGGUCCCCCACAUUAGAACUGAGACACGGUCCAA